GACGAACGCUGGCGGCGUGCCUAAUACAUGCAAGUCGAGCGCAGGAAACUGACGGAACUCUUCGGAGGGAAGGCAGCGGAAUGAGCGGCGGACGGGUGAGUAACACGUAAGGAACCUGCCUCAAGGAUUGGGAUAACUCCGAGAAAUCGGAGCUAAUACCGGAUAGUUCAACGGACCGCAUGGUCCGCUGAUGAAAGGCGCUUCGGCGUCACCUUGAGAUGGCCUUGCGGUGCAUUAGCUAGUUGGUGGGGUAACGGCCCACCAAGGCGACGAUGCAUAGCCGACCUGAGAGGGUGAUCGGCCACACUGUGACUGAGACACGGCCCAGACUCCUACGGGAGGCAGCAGUAGGGAAUCUUCCACAAUGGACGAAAGUCUGAUGGAGCAACGCCGCGUGAGUGAUGAAGGUUUUCGGAUCGUAAAACUCUGUUGUAAGGGAAGAACACGUACGAGAGGAAAUGCUCGUACCUUGACGGUACCUUACGAGAAAGCCACGGCUAACUACGUGCCAGCCGCCGCAGUAA
rnacentral:rRNA from 1 species